UAAAGACUCCUACUAUUUUAUAAGAUGAAAAUAACCAAAUAACUAGUCAUCUUUAGCUUUCUAUCUACUUUCUUAUAAUUGAACACAAAGUUGGUGAAGCAUAUGUUUAUAGUUAAGAGUCGUAUCACACCAUAUAUAUACAUAAGGUUUGGGCAGAGACUUAAAGAUCGGGAUAGAGAGAGCAAUGAUCCUUAUGCCUUCUCAGGCGACUAAUCAUCACUUCAUCCUCCAUCGAAUCAUGAUCAAAGGUCGAAGAAGAUGUGAACAUAUAUCAACUGAUUAUAUGUUCGGAGAUGAUUGAUGAGAAUCAUAGAAAAUAAUCAACAAUAUAUGGAUUAAUCAUAUAGAAGAAUUGGUUCGAGUUUGAUCGAAUCGAUAUUUCUGUUCUUUGGUUUGCUUCAAAUAAAAAGAUGGAAGACGCUCAUGGUUUGAGGCAAGUCAAAGAUCACCAGUUCCCCCUUUCACAAUUUCAAUCUCUUUGUUAAUUAAAGACUAUUAUUACGUAUAUACUCUAUGUUUUAGUUUUAAACAAGACGCAGGUUUUUUCUUAUGUCGAUUACAUGAACUCAUGUUUUUUUUUUUUAUGAACUCAUGUUCAAUUCUAUAAAUGUUAAUUUGUUAUAAUGGCCAUUACUUGGCAUAAAAUCUCUAGCUAGUAUUCACUGGUACUCGAUUAAAAUUCCAUAUGUAUCAAACUAAAUAUUGUUCCAUUGAAGCGGAUUAGAUCACCUGAUAUAUGGCAUGCAUCCAUGUUCUAUUUUCUGUAUGUAACUUGGAUAUGUUCAAUCCGGAUUUUCUAAAUAUGUUCAUACAUCUAUCUUUUAUAUUUGUUCAUAUGUAUCUCUAUAAAAUUUUAGUAUUUA